GCUGGGCCCGGGGGGCUGGUGGCUGGCAAGGAGGAGAAGAAGAAGGCGGGCGGCGGCGUCCUGAACCGCCUGAAGGCGCGGCGGCAGGCGCCCCACCACGCGGCCGACGACGGCGUCGGGGCAGCGGUCACGGAGCAGGAGCUGCUGGCGCUGGACACCAUCCGGCCCGAGCACGUCCUGCGCCUCAGCCGGGUCACCGAGAGAGUGUGCACUCACCUAGUUAGGCCUAUCUUGGCCUGCCCAUCACUCCUGGCCUGCAGUCUCCUAACCCUGUGGCAGCAGCAGCAUUCCCUGGAUGGAUUGAAGGCUGCCAUGGUGUCUGCUGAGCUGCUAUAGCAGGCAGCCCAGGGCUGUUCAGAUUAUUUAUGUAAACCCGAAGACAACAUCUACAGUAUUGAUUUCACCCGCUUCAAAAUUCGAGAUUUGGAGACAGGGACAGUACUUUUUGAGAUUGCCAAACCUUGCGUUUCAGACCAGGAGGAGGA
rnacentral:sRNA from 1 species